rnacentral:rRNA from 1 species
UACGUAGGGGGCGAGCGUUGUCCGGAUUUAUUGGGCGUAAAGAGCUCGUAGGCGGCCAGACAGGUCCGUUGUGAAAACUCGAGGCUCAACCUCGAGAUGUCGAUGGAAACCGUCUGGCUAGAGUCCGGAAGAGGAGUGUGGAAUUCCUGGUGUAGCGGUGAAAUGCGCAGAUAUCAGGAAGAACACCUAUGGCGAAGGCAGCACUCUGGGACGGUACUGACGCUGAGACGCGAAAGCGUGGGGAGCGAACAGG